UGAAACACGGACCAAGGAGUCUAACAUGUGCGCGAGUCAUGGGGUUGUAAACCCAAAGGCGUAAUGAAAGUAAAGGUCAAUUCGGUUGACCGAGGUGAGAUCCCUGUAAGGGGCGCAUCACUGUCCCAUCGCAUCUACUUGUUAGAGCGGUGGAGAAAAAGCGUACACGUUGGGACCCGAAAGAUGGUGAACUAUGCCUGAGCAGGAUGAAGUCAUCGGAAACGGUGAUGGAGGUCCGUAGCGGUUCUGACGUGCAAAUCGAUCGUCAGACUUGGGUAUAGGGGCGAAAGACUAAUCGAACCAUCUAGUAGCUGGUUCCCUCCGAAGUUUCCCUCAGGAUAGCUGGCACUUAAACGCAGUUUUACCCGGUAAAGCGAAUGAUUAGAGGCCUUGGGGACGAAACGACCUCAACCUAUUCUCAAACUUUAAAUGGGUAAGAAGUCUCGCUUGCCUGACCGAAGCUCAGACAUUGAAUGCGAGUGCCAAGUGGGCCAUUUUUGGUAAGCA
rnacentral:rRNA from 1 species